GGAGAGGUGGCAGAGUGGUCGAAUGCGCAUGAUUGGAAUUCAUGUAUGUCCCGAAAGGGGUAUCGAGGGUUCGAAUCCCUCCCUCUCCGCCA
rnacentral:tRNA from 1 species